UCUGUUUCUUCGUCGGAACCGAAAGCCUCCCCAAACCCCUGCGGGAGUGAGCGCUGCGCUCGAGCUCCUCGCCGCGCCGUCGCGUUGGCCGGUGGAAAUGACGCCCACAAAAGGCGAAUCGAGCAGUGAAAUCCAGCAUUUUACGAGAGGGAGAGAGCUAGAGAGAAAGAGAGAGGGAGGAAGAGCAGCGUCGACGCAGGCGGCGUCCAUCGCCGAACGCCGAGUUGGAGCACCACCAGGAGAUUUCCUCCAGGCUCCGCCGCCUCCGCCGCCUCCUCCGCCUCCUCCGCCGCCGGCGCCUCCUCCUCCGCCUCCACCGCCGCCGGCGCCUCCUCCUCCGCCUCCUCCCUCCCCCUGCCCCCCCCUCCACAUCGAGCAGUGAUGAGGAACUGGAGGAUUAUCGUAGCAGUUUGUUUGCUGCUUCCUGUUCUAGCCGCUGGCUACCAUAGGUUUUCGACUGUAGAAGAGGCCAACGCAGCGCUGCGGCGCGACCAUAUCGCCACCGGCAUCGGCCAUACGCUGGAGCAAAUGCAGCGGGGCCAGGGGAAUCUUGGAUUUAGCUCAUACUUUGGUUUUGUUUUUGCUUUCUACUCCAUGUCGGUCCUGGUCGUGGCUGGAGUGUGGGAUCACUUAACAGCAUUGUUUGGAGCAGUUGACGGCGAAUAUAUACUUGCAUUUACCACGAUGCUUGUUAUCUCCGGUUUUAUCGUGGCGACCAGCAUCCGCUUCAUGUUACAUAGUCUAGCACCAUGAUCGCUGACACCACAAAGCGCCUCUGCAAUGUGUAAGCCUGCGGUGCGCUGCGAUACCUGGAUGUCGAUGCACAGUAGAGAAAGAUCAGAGCGGUGUCAGAUGUCACACAGUUGAUUACCAUGAUUGCGAGGCAGAGCUUGUUCCUGUCCUGUACAUAGGUCAGUGCAGUUCCCAUUUCGGGAGGAAUCGGGUGGCGAUGGCUUACGGUCGUCAUGACUCUGGUUGAGGUCUGUUGCUGCCGUCGAUUCUUCCUCAUGUGGAAUUGUGCCUGGACUAUGCUAGCGUUCUUCUUUCAGCGGCUGCGCCAUUGAUGUUCCUACUGGGCUGCCUGUUCUGUUGACUCUGCCAUUGUCAGGCCUUGUCUUCGACUUCCCGAGUCCGUUCUGUUGCCAGCUUUGUUGACUCACGACUAUUGCCAGGUAGGAUAUGUGUGUGUGUAUUACACUGUCAGCUGUGGCUUCUCUGUUCGCAGUUAGGGGCCUUGACGUGUAGCUUUUAGUUUCCUUCAUUGCUCGUGCAUUUGUUUGUUUUAUUCCUUGGGUUGUAUCUGUAUUUGGUGCCUAGCUAUUGUAUAACCGGCGAUGCCAUGAAAUAAAUGAUGAAUUGUUUAUAGUUGUGUCAGAUAUUUACUUUCCCUUA